rnacentral:rRNA from 1 species
UCGGAAUUACUGGGCUUAAAGAGCACGUAGGUGGUUAGAAAAGUUGGUGGUGAAAUCCCAAGGCUUAACCUUGGAACUGCCGCCAAAACUUUUUAACUAGAGUGUGAUAGAGGUAAGCGGAAUUUCUAGUGUAGAGGUGAAAUUCGUAGAUAUUAGAAAGAACACCAAUUGCGAAGGCAGCUUUCUGGAUCAUUACUGACACUGAGGUGCGAAAGCAUGGGUAGCGAAGAGGAUUAGAUACCCUCGUAGUCCAUGCUGUAAACGAUGUGUGCUAGACGUUGGAAAUUUAUUUUUCAGUGUCGCAGCAAAAGCGUUAAGCACACCGCCUGGGGAGUACGACCGCAAGGUUAAAACUCAAAUGAAUUGACGGGGACCCGCACAAGCAGUGGAGCAUGUGGUUUAAUUCGAAGAUACGCGCAGAACCUUACCAACACUUGACAUGUUCGUCGCGACUCUAAGAGAUUAGAGUCUUCGGUUCGGCCGGACGAAACACAGGUGCUGCAUGGCUGUCGUCAGCUCGUGUCGUGAGAUGUUGGGUUAAGUCCCGCAACGAGCGCAACCCUUACUUUUAGUUGCCACCAUUUAGUUGAGCACUCUAAAAGAACUGCCAGUGAUAAGCUGGAGGAAGGUGGGGAUGACGUCAAGUCCUCAUGGCCCUUACGUGUUGGGCUACACACGUGCUACAAUGGCACUUACAAUGGGAAGCAAAGAGGCGACUCUUAGCUAAUCCCAAAAAAGUGCCUCAGUUCGGAUUGUACUCUGCAACUCGAGUGCAUGAAGCUGGAAUUGCUAGUAAUCGCGGAUCAGCGCGC